UUUAGCUAUUCCAACUACAAAGCUUCUUAACCAACUAGUGUCUCUUAUCCCUUAAUUUUUUGUCCAUGCCAGCAGUUCCUUUGACUUCUUCAUUUAAGUACCUAUCAGUUCAAGUCCUUUUCACCAAGAUAUUGUUGGAAGGUAAAGGAGGCGAACGUACUUCUUGAAACAGUAAAUUACUUCGCUUGUGCUCGUCUCAAGAAGAAUGAUGGCUACAACAUUCAAAUAACUGGCAAGUUAGUUAGUAACUACUAGAAAAUUUGAUGAAUAUUGAAAGUUUUUCUUUUCUUUUGAAUGGAGGAAACUUCAGGUGGUUUGAUGUAUGUUCGGAAUUAUCUCUCUGCAGCAAAUGCUAAACUCAAUUGUCCUUAUGGUUCGGUUCAACCUCAAGCCUUUCUAGAUUUUGCAAGAUCUGAGCUGAUUACAUUCUGUGAAAAAAGCUGCCAAGGAAUGAAUUGUCUAUUUGGGUAUGGACCAAAAUACCCAACCAGAGUUCACCAUAGAGGCACGUCAUUCCCUUCAAUCUUUGGUCAACGUUCUUCUGUGAACUGUGGUGGUAUAAAAUGUCUCACACUGAUAUGUUAUCUAGCCAUGGUGCUCUGGUUGGUGGACCAGACCAGAAUGAUUACUAUACAGAUGAAGGAUAAACUACGAGCAAUCAGAACCAACUUUGUUUGGAACAGCUCUACUUGUUUGUCUAUUCGCUAAACUCACAGGAAAAUUAGGUAACUAGACAAUAAACAUCACUCCCGUUCCGUGAAUCAUCAAAUAAUGUAAUGAAACUUUCUAGGUCUUAUGGAAGAGGAUCUUCUAAACCUUAAAAAGCCAACAAAACCCAUUAGGUUGAUGAUCUUCUUACUCGCUCUACGACUUCUUGCCUCUUCGGCCAUAAUCUGAUUCUCAUUUUCAGUUAAGACUUCGCACAGUUUCGUCUUAGAAAGCAACACCAACACCAUACACUCCAAAGAAAACAAGUGCACCAGUCGAACUUCGAACUUCAUUCAAUAACUGCUAACUGGAUAGCCGGGAACUGUAGGUACUACUACAAACAAAGUGCUAAUCAAAAAACAAAUUCUCAGCUACAGAAUGAAGAUUUCUAGCAACGCUAAACCUAACAGGGCAAAAAUAUGCAUACCACCUACAAAAGGGGCAAAUGAUAUCUGACCUAUAUGGGUCUCUGUUUUUACUACUAAUCCACUUUGUUAACAUCCAGUUUUACGGUUGUUUAUAUAUCAUUAGAGUGAUAAGAUUUCAAAGCUAAAGGAAGACCAUGAUUCAACACAAAAGCACUCAAAACUGAGUUUUAAUUUAAAUUCAGACAAAAAUAUAAGGAUUCAGACACGACUCGAGUAGAAAAAAAACUAAAAUAAUAAAAACAAGCAUAGCAUCAAACGGCUAAAGGACUUGAGAACACAUUCUCUUCUCCAUAAGGCUUCUAAUCGUCAAAGGUAGUCUUCGUGCCUG